GAUUUCUGGCUUGAAACAUUUUGCCGGCCACGGUUUCGUGUGUUAGUGCUUGAUGUUCUGGCCAUCCUUCCAAUCGCUGUUCACCUUUCUUCAUUGAUUGGUGCAAUGGUAUUGGAACUUUUACUUUGAAAAAAUUAGAGUGUUUCAAGCAGGCUUUAUGCUAUGAAUACAUUAGCAUGGAAUAAUAAUUUAGGACUUCGGUUCUAUUUUGUUGGUUUCUAGGACUGAAGUAAUGAUUGAUAGGGAUAGUUGGGGGUGCUAGUAUUCAGCGGCCAGAGGUGAAAUUCUCGGAUUCACUGAAGACUAACUUAUGCGAAAGCAUU
rnacentral:rRNA from 1 species